AUUGAACGCUGGCGGCAUGCCUUACACAUGCAAGUCGAACGGUAACGCGGGGCAACCUGGCGACGAGUGGCGAACGGGUGAGUAAUACAUCGGAACGUGCCCAGUAGUGGGGGAUAGCCCGGCGAAAGCCGGAUUAAUACCGCAUACGACCUACGGGUGAAAGCGGGGGACCGCAAGGCCUCGCGCUAUUGGAGCGGCCGAUGUCAGAUUAGCUAGGUGGUGGGGUAAAGGCCUACCAAGGCGACGAUCUGUAGCUGGUCUGAGAGGACGACCAGCCACACUGGGACUGAGACACGGCCCAGACUCAUACGGGAGGCAGCAGUGGGGAAUUUUGGACAAUGGGGGCAACCCUGAUCCAGCCAUGCCGCGUGCGGGAAGAAGGCCUUCGGGUUGUAAACCGCUUUUGUCGGGGAAGAAACGGUCUGCGCUAAUACCACGGACUAAUGACGGUACCCGAAGAAUAAGCACCGGCUAACUACGUGCCAGCCGCCGCCGUAACAC
rnacentral:rRNA from 1 species